rnacentral:rRNA from 1 species
UCGGGUUGUAAAGCACUUUUGUCUGGAAAGAAAUCCUCUGGGUUAAUACCUCGGGGGGAUGACGGUACCGGAAGAAUAAGCACCGGCUAACUACGUGCCAGCAGCCGCGGUAAUACGUAGGGUGCGAGCGUUAAUCGGAAUUACUGGGCGUAAAGCGUGCGCAGGCGGUUCGCUAAGACCGAUGUGAAAUCCCCCGGGCUUAACCUGGGAACUGCAUUGGUGACUGCGAGCUAGAGUGUGCAGAGGGGGGGUAGAAAUUCCACGUGUAGCAGUGAAAUGCGUAGAGAUGUGGAGGAAUACCGAUGGCGAAGGCAGCCCCAUGGGCUAACACUGACGCUCAUGCACGAAAGCGUGGGGAGCAAACAGGAUUAGAUACCCUGGUAGUCCACGCCCUAAACGAUGUCAACUAGUUGUUGGGGAUUCAUUUCCUUAGUAACGUAGCUAACGCGUGAAGUUGACCGCCUGGGGAGUACGGUCGCAAGAUUAAAACUCAAAGGAAUUGACGGGGACCCGCACAAGCGGUGGAUGAUGUGGAUUAAUUCGAUGCAACGCGAAAAACCUUACCUACCCUUGACAUGGACGGAAUCUUGCUG